ACGUCGCGUGCAACACAGUACACAGUGCGUAAACUUUCGCGCCGAUUAAAAAAAAAUCGAGUCGUAUCGUCUGGCACGCGCGCGCGCUCCCGCGCAGAUCCGGUGAUGAGUCCCGGAGAAGUUGACGGUCGGAGCCGCCGCGCGCGCCGGCAGCGCGUGUGAGUUUAAACCCCGUCGCUCGGACCCCGCGUUCGCUCUUCCUCUUCCCUCCUUCUUCCUCUUCCUCUCCCUCUUCCUCUUCUUCAUGCCACCCACUAAUGACAGAGGUGGGCGACAAUGUUCGGGGAUCAGAGUAGCGAGCAGCUCGCGAGGAAGUGCGCCGCCGUUCAGCACGCGACGCUGCGUUGAAUCCGUCCGAACGGAAGAGUUUCGCGGCGCGCGCCGGACCGUUAAGACACCGCCGGGAUGCGAGAUUAUUCUGCGGUCACUCUGGGCUUUCUGCCUCUUCUGGUCAGCCACUGCUUCCUGUUCUCUGCGCUACUGCAGUGCGCUCAUGGAGAACUGCAGAAGUCCUGCUCUGGAGCUCCUGCUGUUCACCUGGAGAACACCUGCAACCUGCCCUGCCCCUGCAGACCAUACCCACUGUUACCCCCACCUCCUCCUCCACCUCCUCCACCCAGACUCUUCUCUCCUACAGUGGCUCCAUCCAGCGUGUCUCCUCCUGUGAAGCCCUGGGGAAGAGAGGUGGAGAUUUUGGUGCUGGGGACAGUGAGCUGUGCAUCAGUCGUCUUCCUCUUCCUCACCGUCAUAAUCUGCUACAAGGCUAUCAAAAGAUCACCUCUACACCUUCUCAGCUCCAGCUCUCAGCUUACAUAACACUGCUCAGCUCCACUGUGCUCUGAAUCAGCACACACUCAGCAUUCCCUCACGCCGUCCUCCAUCCUCCUCAACCUGCUACUGAUCUGAUCUUACUGUCAGCGUUUCUCUCCAUCACACAACAGCUCAUGAGGAAGCUGAAACCAGGACGCUGUGGGUUCGAUUCACCGAUCGGGUCGAGAAGUACAGACUGAAAAUUUGUACAGUACUCCUGAAAUGUUUUGUUCCCCAAGAAAUAUACACUUUCUAUAGAAAUGACCUGUUUUUCUAAAAAUGUCCUGUUCCCAUAGUACUGUCCUGUUCCCAAGAAAUGUCCUCUCCUUCUAGAAAUGUCCUGUUCCUCUAGAAAUGUUAUGUACCUCUAAAAAUGUCCUGUUCCCAAGAAAUGUCCUCUCCUUCUAGAAAUGUCCUAUUCCCCUAGAAAUAUCUGGUUUUCCAAGUAAUGUCCUGUUCUUCUAGAAAUGUCCUGUUCUUCUAGAAGUGUCCUGUUCUUCUAGAAAUAUCAUGUACCUCUAAAAAUGUCCUGUUCCCAAGAAAUAUCCUCUCUUUCUAGAAAUGUCCUGUUCCUCUAAAAAUGUCUUGUUCUUCUAGAAAUAUCCUGUUCCCCAAGAAAUCUCCUGUUCCUAUAAAAUGUCCUGUUCUUCAAGAAAUGUCCUGUUCUUCUAGAAAUGUCCUGUUCCUCUAGAAAUGUCCUGUUCUUCUAGAAAUGUCCUGUUCCUCUAGAAAUGUCCUGUUCUUCUAGAAAUGUCCUGAACCUCUAGAAAUGUCCUGUUCCUCUAGAAAUAUCUGGUUUUCCAAGUAAUGUCCUGUUCUUCUAGAAAUGCCCUGUUUCUCUCAAAAUGUACUGUUCCUGUAGACAUGUCCUGUUCCAGCUGAAUUCUGGAUUCUGAUUGGUCAAAGCAUGUCACCUGUGAUACAUUAUUGUUUCUGUAGUGACAGCUCCUUCGUAGGUCUAGCGAAUUCUCCACAGAAACAGAUUUUAGGUCUGCAGUGGUUGAAACGGUGACGUUUUCUUUAAAGAUCUUUAUUAUUUCUGGAUGUUUCCUGUAUGGAAGGAGUCUCCAGUGCCAGCGCUCUGUAACAGACAGAGCCAUAUGUUUUGUGAUUAGACUGUAAUAAAGCCGUGUUUAUGAAGAGGAUGCCUCGAUCUGGCCGUGUAGUUCCUCAGAAGUGUUUGUCCUCGGUGUGAUAAACAGGAGUGUUAUUGUGCAAGCUUCUGUACGCAAAGCAGCAGAUUUCAUAUUCCAUCAGAUUUUCCCAGCUUGCGUGUUGAGACAAGACGAUGACGCUAUACACCAUGAAUCCUAAAGAAUAAGUUUGCUCACUGGUGCAAGUGGUUUCAGUCAAACAAUUUGUGAUGUACUAGAUGAUCUUAGCGUUUAUAUAUAUAGCUGAAAAACAGACGUGAACCAGCAGAACCUAAUGCGUAAUGCAUUUAUAUAUCACAAUCUGCUGAAACAACAAACUAACAGUUUUAUUUCUAUUUAACUAAAGACGUACGUUUAGAUCUAUAUGAGAGGAUCUUCAUGCUAGGACAUGCAUAUGUCUGAUUAUUAACCUGAACAUUUACAUGUUUGGCAGAUGCUCUUAUCCAGAGAGACUUACACUUUAUUUUUUUAAACGCAGCAGUUGAGGGUCAGGAGCCUUGCUCAGGGGCCCAGCAGUGUCCACUCAGUAGACCUGGGAUUCAAACUCCUAAACUUCCGGAGUCCAACACCUUAACCACUAAGCUACCACAUUCCCAAUAAGGACUAAAUCACUCAUGGUGUCAUGCUGUUACAGGAAAACAAUCAAUAAUGUUCUCAUGUGAUGUAGAAGUUACCUCUUGUACUACAGCUAUUUAACAACAUUCACUAUAUUCAGAAUCACUCAUGUGUGUGUGUGUGUGUGGGUGGGUGUGUGUGUGUGUGUGUGUGUGUGGGUGGGUGGGUGUGUGUGUGUGUGUGUGUCUGUAUGUCGUUCAGGUUUAUUAAAAUCACCUGCAUUUUAUCUGAAAUGCCCUGUCCCUCUAGAAAUGUCCUGUUCCUCUAAAAAAAUGUCCUGUUCCUCUAGAAAUGUCCUGUUCUUCUAGAAACAUCCUGUUCCCAUAGUACUGUCCUGUUCCUCUAGGAAUGUCCUGUUGUUCUAGAAAUGGCCUGUUCCCAAGAAAUUGCCUGUUUUUCUAAAAAUGUCCUGUUCCCCAAGCAAUGUCAUAUUCCUCUAGAAAUGUCUUGUUCCCCUAGAAAAGUUCUGUUCUUCUAGAAAUGUCCUGUUCCUCUAGAAAUGUCUUGUUCCCCUAGAAAAGUUCUGUUCUUCUAGAAAUGUCCUGUUCCUCUAGAAAUGUCUUGUUCCCCUAGAAAAGUUCUGUUCUUCUAGAAAUGUCCUGUUCCUCUAGGAAUGUCCUGUUGUUCUAGAAAUGUCCUUAAUGAACUUAAAAUAUUCUCUGAGGAAAUAUGACUGAGUCUGAGUCAUAUCUCGUAUAAAUCAUCCUGAAAAAUGCGUUAUGAACUGUAAUGAUCACAUUCAUCACUGAGGAACAAAACUUGAUCCAGCACAGGCUGUUCUUCUCCAUUUUAUUUGUUUGCACUGUUACACAAAUGUUCAUGAAGCCAUUAGAUACUCCAUGGAGGUCAUGACAUCCUGUGGUUGACGUGCAGGCUCAUGUGAUGGUGAAUUUGAUAGAAAACGAGAUGCUGCACUUACAGAGAAACUCUCAUUCAUCAUAGAGAGCAAGUUCAUUUAGAGUUUAAUAAAUUUAAUAACAUUCAAAGUUCCUAAUAAACCACGCCUCUGAUUAAGACCUAUCUCCUCCGAUGUCCUCCAUAUGAAGAAAACCACACUACUGUAAAUGCCCUUAAGUUUGUGUUUAACCCUUUGAGAUGUUUUCAAUCAGUGUACAGAAAUGAAUGAUGUUGUGUCUGUGAGUCUGAUCUAAAACGAGUCUGUCGUCUUUCAGUGUGUGUUAGACGUGUGUUUUUCCCUCUGUUGGAGAACCUUACACAGAAUUUUACUGGUUGAAGAUGAAAUCUGAGCUGCUUUUUAGAUGAACAAGCACUUGGAGAACGUCUCAGAGAGCAGAAAUGGGUUUGAGAUCAACAUUUACUCUGAAGAUACAAACAUUUCUGUGGAAUGGAACUUUUCUAUGAAUCUAUCAGCCCUAGUCUUCUUCUUCUUCUUCUUCUUCUUCUUCUUCUUCUUCUUCUUCUUCUUCUUCUUCUUCUUUGGGCUUUUCCCUUCAGGGGUGGCCACAGAGAAUCAUCUCUCUCCACCUAUCCCUAUCUUCUACACUUACACCCACUAUCUUCAUGUCCUCAUUUAUUACAUCCAUAUACCUCCUCUUUGGCCGUCCUCUUUUCCUCCUGCCUGGCAGCUCCAUGUCCAACAUUCUCCGUCCAAUAUACUCAGUCUCCCGCCUCUGAACAUGUCCAAACCAUCUUAAUCUGUCCUCCCUAACUUUGUCCCCCAAACGUCAAUAGAAACAGAUUUCAUCCCUCUGAUGUACUCGUUCCUGAUCCUGUCCAACCUUGUCACUCCCAAAGAGAACCUCAACAUCUUCAGCUCUGCUCCCUCCAGCUCUGACUCCUGUCUCUUCCUCAGUGCUACUGUCUCUAAACAAUACAGCAUGGCUGGUCUCACCACUGUCUUGUACAAUUUCACCCCUAGUAGUCUAGAGAAAAACAGAAAUCCUUCUGAAACACGACAAAUUCUUAAAGUCUUGAGUGUCUACUUUCAUCUGAGCUUCAUAUUAACCUCCACUGUGGAGUGAGACAUGACAAAGACACUCAAUCAUCAACAUGGACACAACAACAACAGGAGGAAUCUCCACUUUUCACCCUUGAACUAAGACACGCCUCUGUUUUACUUAAACUCCGCCCACACGACUUCAGAGGGACAAACUCUGUUAAUUAACAGCUUCAUCUGUAGGGAACAUCACACUCCAGGCUCUUUGUUUUUCAAGAUACAACUCAGCGUAACCUUCUCUGAGCUUUUCCUCUUGAACCCUCCGCACCAUCGCUUCCUCUCCUCCCCUGAGCGAGCAGACGAGGCAGGAUUUUGCCCCCGGUGUAAAUCAGACAGAGGGGAUGUCUUUAUGGGAAAAACCCUGCAGGCCUCACGUCUGCUCGCACUCCUUCUCAUGACAGAUGUUCCCUGUAGAGCCACUAAAGAGUCUCAUCAGUCCUGCCCGAGGGACAGGGAUGGUGUUAGUCACAGGCUUCUCCUAAACAUUUAAUCAAUCACUCUGAAGUCUGAGUGCGCCCAAGCCGAGGUGUUCGAGGAGCGGAAAAAGACCACAUGUUGUCCAGAAACGUUUACGUUUCUUCAAAAUAUUUUCUUCUUAUUAAGAAAACUGAUUGGUUCGAAAGUGUUCAUACAGUUUCUGUUGUUGUUUCUAUAGCAACCGGGCAGCUGAGGGACGCUGGGGAUUAAAAAACACGUGUAAAGGUUUAUACAAUGAUGCCUUGUUUUGCUUAGUUUUAUUCAAAAUUUAUGAAAGGAGUCUCCAGUAUCAGAGUUUUUCAGACAACUUCAGGACAGAGGAUUUUACUCUGUGUUAAAAUAAAGAGAAGCUGGUGAGGGAAAGACUGUUUAAAGCUGAUAUAACAUAACAGAGAAUAGGAAAUGACUUGUUUCUUAAAAUAACUAGAAAUAUCAUGAAAUCAGUAAUCACCAGAGAUGAUUUUUCCUCUCACCCGUCCUGCACUGUGUAUUCUGACCCCUUUCUAUCAGAACCAGCAUUAAACCAGCAGUUUGAUCAACAGUAGCUCGUCUGUUGGAUCGGAUCACACGGUCCAGCCUUCUCUCCCCACGUGCAUCAAUGAGCCUUGACCGUCCAUGACCCUAUCGCCGGUUCACCACUGUUCCUUCCUUGGACCACUUUUGAUAGAUACUGACCACUGCAGACUGGGAACACCCCACAAGAGCUGCAGUUUUGGAGAUGCUCUGAUCCAGUGGUCUAGACAUCACAAUUUGGCCCUUCGUCAAACUCGCUCAAAUCCUUACACUUGACCAUUUUUCCUGCUUCUAACAUCAACUUUGAGGACAAAAUGUUGACUUGCUGCCUAAUAUAUCCCACCCACUAACAGGUGCCAUGAUGAGGAGAUACUCAGUCUUAUUCACUUCACCUCUCACUGCUCACAGUGUUAUGGCUGAUUGGUGUACUCAAAAGUACAAAAAUGUUGCUAGGGAACUAAGAAGAUAUUGCACAUAAUAUGUUAUUGCACAUGAUGUUAUAUUGCUGGAUAGAUUUGGUGUCUCGUCAUUGAGCUCUGUCCACAGUAGCUGGAGUUAAAUAAAUUUCUGCUGAUCAUCACGGCCGUGAUGGACCCUACAAACAUCUGACAUUGCAGUCAGUUUCUUCAGCAAGGAUAAUGAUAUCUAAAUAUCUCAAGAUUUCAGUUUCAUAUAAAAGCGCCGGGAGUGUGAGUUGACGCCCUAAAUCCUAUCAGCCUUCAGUUCUUCAGUUCUUUCGUUUUUUUCAGUUCUUCAGUCCUUCAGUCCCUCAGUUUUUCAGCUGUGCUUCCUGCAGGUUACAGCAUGGUGUGUUUACCUGCAGAACACAGCCUGUUUUAAUGAGCUCAGGUCGUGUUUAUGAAAUUAGCCCCAGCCUUCAGACACGUCUCAGAGGAUCAGCACGCAGCCGAAGCAGCCUUCGGAAAGGUCAGGUUGUUUUCGUCCUCUUUGCCUCGCCGCUAAGAUCUGGAGUGGCAGCUCGUUCAGACCAGACGCUGCGUUUACUCACGUUACUGAACAAACACGUUCCUUUAACUAGUAUUAAAAACCAGACAUCAUCUGCAGGGGCUUUUUAGAAGAAAUGAUGGAUGUGUUUGGUGUUAAAAACCUUCAUGUCAUUAAUUUAUGCACAUUUCCAUAUAAGGAGAUCGAUCAAGUGAACCUCCAUUUAUCGUAUGACUGUCUGGAAACCUCUGCGGAAAGAAGAGAACGGCACGAGCCGAGGGGAAUACGCCAUGAGCUCUCGCUGCAAGCAGACAGCAGUGGAGACCAACAACACUGGAGUAUAGCAUCCAGAGGAAAUACACUG